AAAGCAACCGCCGGUAGAACGGAUAUCAUUGAUGUUGAUAAUUAUGGAACAAAUCCGUUGCUUUA
rnacentral:tRNA from 2 species